AUGAACGCUAGCGGCAGGCUUAACACAUGCAAGUCGAGGGGUAUAGGUUUUCGGACCUAGAGACCGGCGCACGGGUGCGUAACGCGUAUGCAAUCUACCUUUCACAGAGGGAUAGCCCAGAGAAAUUUGGAUUAAUACCUCAUAGUAUAGCAGUUUCGCAUGAAACCACUAUUAAAGUCACAACGGUGAAAGAUGAGCAUGCGUCCCAUUAGCUAGUUGGUAAGGUAACGGCUUACCAAGGCAACGAUGGGUAGGGGUCCUGAGAGGGAGAUCCCCCACACUGGUACUGAGACACGGACCAGACUCCUACGGGAGGCAGCAGUGAGGAAUAUUGGACAAUGGGCGCAAGCCUGAUCCAGCCAUGCCGCGUGCAGGAUGACGGUCCUAUGGAUUGUAAACUGCUUUUGCACAGGAAGAAACAACUCUACGUGUAGAGUCUUGACGGUACUGUGAGAAUAAGGAUCGGCUAACUCCGU
rnacentral:rRNA from 1 species